UAUACUCUGACCAAACAUGUAGCCCAGAGUUGGCAAAUAUUUUUCUGAUGUAUUUCCUUGCCCUUUCUUUACCACGCGGAUUGGUGAUGUGAUGACGUGGUUUGGAGAAUUUUCUCAGCGUGUAUCGUAGUGUUUGUAUUGAAUCGCUAUGGAUAUCCUUCAUGACGUCACACGCUGUUGCUGUGGCAACUAAAUACAAGAAUUCGGAGGUUGGCGCCACAUUUUACAUCCAAGUUAUUAUAUUUCCGUUGAAGAUUUACACUUCAGGAUUUAGAGAUCAUCCUGCUGUAUCAGAGAAUAUACAAAACAGUUCCGUUCCUCUGAAUUGAGUUGUUGAAAUAUGCUGUUAACAUUUUUCGGUAAAAACGGGAUUUUACUCUAUAUAAGAUAACGUUCGCUGCUUAUUUUUGUGCUUAACAAGAUAAAAAGUUCGAGUGUUGUUCUGGUUCUUGCGCUAAUAUUCAUCCAGCGUCAUUACGCAAGAUUAUAAAUCGACAAAAAUUUGCGGUUGCAAGAUUACGCGCAGAUGUAUUAAAAUUGCUGUCAAGGUCACAACAAAUUUCAAAGAAUUCCAGCAAAGAAUCGGAAACAAUUGAUUUACAAGACAAACUAACCUGUUUUGGAUCGUCAAUGAUUGCAUACGCCCACAGACCAGUUCUAGGAUAGAUUUGAUCAACUAGCAUAGGUCGUUCAUCAAUUUGCGCCAUA